GUUUGAGCGUCAUUUCUCCCUCAAACCCUCGGGUUUGGUGUUGAGCGAUACGCUGGGUUUGCUUGAAAGAAAGGCGGAGUAUAAACUAAUGGAUAGGUUUUUUCCACUCAUUGGUACAAACUCCAAAACUUCUUCCAAAUUCGACCUCAAAUCAGGUAGGACUACCCGCUGAACUUAAGCAUAUCAAUAAGCGGAGGAAAAGAAACCAACAGGGAUUGCCUUAGUAGCGGCGAGUGAAGCGGCAAAAGCUCAAAUUUGAAAUCUGGCACUUUCAGUGUCCGAGUUGUAAUUUGAAGAAGGUAUCUUUGGGUCUGGCUCUUGUCUAUGUUUCUUGGAACAGAACGUCACAGAGGGUGAGAAUCCCGUGCGAUGAGAUGUCCCAGACCUAUGUAAAGUUCCUUCGAAGAGUCGAGUUGUUUGGGAAUGCAGCUCUAAGUGGGUGGUAAAUUCCAUCUAAAGCUAAAUAUUGGCGAGAGACCGAUAGCGAACAAGUACAGUGAUGGAAAGAUGAAAAGAACUUUGAAAAGAGAGUGAAAAAGUACGUGAAAUUGUUGAAAGGGAAGGGCUUGAGAUCAGACUUGGUAUUUUGUAUGUUACUCUCUCGGGGGUGGCCUCUACAGUUUACCGGGCCAGCAUCAGUUUGAGCGGUAGGAUAAGUGCAAAGAAAUGUGGCACUGCUUCGGUAGUGUGUUAUAGUCUUUGUCGAUACUGCCAGCUUAGACUGAGGACUGCGGCUUC
rnacentral:rRNA from 1 species